rnacentral:rRNA from 1 species
CCUACGGGAUGCAGCAGUGAGGAAUAUUGGUCAAUGGACGAGAGUCUGAACCAGCCAAGUAGCGUGAAGGAUGACUGCCCUAUGGGUUGUAAACUUCUUUUAUAUGGGAAUAAAAUGUUCCACGUGUGGGAUUUUGUAUGUACCAUAUGAAUAAGGAUCGGCUAACUCCGUGCCAGCAGCCGCGGUAAUACGGAGGAUCCGAGCGUUAUCCGGAUUUAUUGGGUUUAAAGGGAGCGUAGGUGGAUUGUUAAGUCAGUUGUGAAAGUUUGCGGCUCAACCGUAAAAUUGCAGUUGAAACUGGCAGUCUUGAGUACAGUAGAGGUGGGCGGAAUUCGUGGUGUAGCGGUGAAAUGCUUAGAUAUCACGAAGAACUCCGAUUGCGAAGGUAGUUCACUGGACUGCAACUGACACUGAGGCUCGAAAGUGUGGGUAUCAAACAGGAUUAGAUACCCGAGUAGUC